AAAACCCCAAAUCACACAACCUUCCCCAAAUCAAAGAGCCUCCCCUCCACUUUCUUCAUCCGGAGACCGAAGCAAAUCCAGCAACCCAAUGAUUAUCUUCGCCUUGUUGGAAAAAUUGGUUUUAAUUAGUUGGUUUGACCAACUUUUGACCAAUUAAUUUAGUGGGUCCCGUUAAUCGGAAAUAAAAUUUCUUUGGCUGAAUGUGUUCUACUCCAUGAGUAGAUUAAUAUGGUAUAUUUAUUUUCUCAAAACCAAUUUAGGGUGAAUGAGAAAUUAAGUCUAAAAGAUACCCACUUGAUGUUGAAAUAAAAUAGGUGGGAAAUUGGAAAAUACCAAUCCCAUAUAGGAAAACUAAAAGAAUAUAAACCACCUUAUAUAGCUCAAGUUUGAGACUUGGGUUUGGGCCCCAAGGGGUACCAAUAGUUUUAGAGGGGGAGAGAACUUACAUGCUAGUAGGUUAAGCCAAAACUCACACGCGCGCGCCGCCGUCGCCGUCAGUCCGACCUGUCGGCACGGCACGGUCAUGGUCACGGGUCGUGGGUCGUGGGCUUGGACCAAGCUGAUAUAUAUUUUUUAGUAAAAUAACAUUUAAUUAUAUUAUUUUAUUAUUAUAAUAAUAAUAUAUUUUAUGUUAUUAACUUUUUUUUCCUUCCCCGAAUUUUCUGCGUGUGACACGUGGUAUGGUGCUUCUAGAAUUUAGCGGGUUGACUGUCCAAGUGACGGUUGACUAUCAAAGUGGCGAUUGACUGUCCAAGUGACGGUUGACUGUCCAAAGUGGCUGUUGACUGUCCAAACCAUUUGUGUCUUUUGGACACAACUUUUCGGCAGUUGUGUCUGUUGGGACACAACCUUUCAACAUCUAUAAAUAGGCCCUCAUACCUCGAUUUUUAUUCAUUCCAAAAAAUCAGAAUUGAUUUUCUACUCUCCCGAAAUUAUCCCUUUGUCCCUGUAUAAUUUCUGUUCUUAUAAUUCAGUUCUCGAAAAUUACUUUUCGUGCAUUUCACUCAUCCAGUGUGUGUGGAGAGAUCUAAACUUUACGAGUUCGUCGGGUCUUGUAAUUUGGAGUACUACUAUUACAAGACGAGGUCGUUGUAUCUUGGAAAACGAGUGCUGCAAUACCGUUAGUACCAGUGCGGGGCAUUAUCGUUUUAAGGAGAAAGAGUCGAACUCUUGCCUCGACCGUUCAAAACCAUCCAAACGUCGUUACUCUGCCCAAAUAUAUAUUACGGUAACACUAUUAUUUGCUAUUAUUUUUCAACACGCCUUCCGAUGCGGGGGAAGAGCAUUCAUCGCAAGACUUAUCUGUCCCAUUGUUUUGGUAUGCGAAAAAAAUCUUGUUUUGGCACGCGAAUAAAAUCUCCCACAAGCGAUUUCGGG
rnacentral:lncRNA from 1 species